CGGGAGGGGCAGCAGAGCUAAGUUUGCCCAUCUGGGCAGAGGGAUCCUCCUCCCAUCGUCACUGGCUUUUCCUCCCUUUCUCUGACGCUUGGGUGUCCUCAGGAGCAGAAUAGGACCUCACAGGCCAAGGCCAUCAGUGUGCCCCAGUGCUCAAAUAUAAAACAUCUGCGGAGGACGCUGGGGAGCCCUGUGAAAGAGGUGAAGAAUCCUCUUCCAAAGACAUGGAGUGGCUCCAAGAAGAUUCCUUUUGUAAUUCUCCUGCUUCUCACUGCCAAAGAGCAUCUUGCUGGCUACUUUAAUCUGCAAGAUCCAUCUUACUUUAACUGUAUUGAAAAGGACUGAUGUUUUGGGGUUGUGCUGUGCUAUAUUAAAAUCCAUAUUUCAAACAAUAAAUGCUUUCCAUUUAUCCAGGCUAGUCUCUUUUCUAUUGAGCCAAACUUUCAGGCAGUUAGCUAAACCUUUCAGUAAUAUGAAGCACCUUUUUCAUCUUGUGCCAACAGUGUAAUGCCUCCAAUAAUUUAUGUUUAAUUUUUAAUACAGUUAUCUAUCAUGAGUAAUUAUGUGGGCUGCUCACAAUAUUCCAUUUUCUGUUAUGUGGUUUUUCUGAAGAUCGUGGACUUAAAAAAAUACCACAGUACUACUACUUUUCUCCUGAGUUUCCUCUAGAAAAGAAAUGUUGAGGCAUACUUGAAGAUACUCUGUGUCAGACUUUGAGAGGUUCUUUGAUCUCUCUUUAGAUCUACUGAUACUGGCGUGAGAAACAGAGCAAGAUGAUGUGAUUUAUGGACUCACACAGCUAGAAAGGUCUGAGCAGAGUUCUUCACGUUCACAGGGAUAUUUUGCUGGUAUUUCUGUGCAGGGUUCAGAUGUUGAGUUCUUCCUUAUUGACAGUGUUUCUGUUGAUGGUGAACAUCAGUGAGGGAAGAGGCUUUCACUGCCAUCUGCAAUGGCUUAUGCCAAGCUGUGUUUAACCCAUCUUUUCCACAUUUUACACUUAAAAAUCUUUGUUCUCUGAGCUCACAAUGGAGUAGAUGGCAGCAUCUGAUGGUUGUGCCGCUCUGCUGCUGGGGAGUGGUCCCCAUAGUCCUUGCCCAGGUGUACCAUCUGCAAGAGCUGCAGGCCCUCUUCCUCUUUAGCAUCCCUCUCAGCUCUACAGGGAGAACUUUUCCAGUGGCAAAAUAGCAAAUAUCUGCUCUUGGCACCGAGCUGCUUUCACCAGCAAUAGCCAUGAGGUAUUUGCCUGCCUUGAGUGACAGCUUGUUUCACUUGUGCACUAGGAUCAGCUGACUUUGUUAAUCUAUAUUUGGCAAUAAGCAUCGAUGUGACUAUUGGAUCUGUCUGAGGGGCCAGAAGCUGAACUUCCAGGGGGCCAUAUAAGUUUUCUGUUCAAAUCUACAUUUUGAAAUGUUUGUAAUUUCUCUCAUGCUUGGUAGCUCUCUAAGCACUGAUCUUUUGGGAGGGGAAAAAACAGUUCUUUCCUAUUUUUCCUGGCUAGACCACAGCUUGUCCUGACCUGCUCCUGCUCUGGGAAUUGGGACUGGGAUGUGUAUGGGAAUGUUAACAGAAAUCUAUACCAAGGAGGCCAUUUGAGUGCUGGAUACUUCUUGGGGCUGUUUUCACUCUCUGUUGGUGAAGGGGACUGGGGCCAACAGAUCUCCUCUGAAAUGGCAGUACUUGAUGAAUUGUCAAAGCUUACAAUUGUCUCUGUUCAGAAAACAAAACAAAUAAAAUAAAUAUGUCCUUUUGGUGAA